UACGGAGGGUGCAAGCGUUGUCCGGAAUCACUGGGCGUAAAGGGCGCGUAGGCGGCUAUGUAAGUCAGAUGUGAAAGCCCCGGGCUCAACCUGGGAAUUGCAUUUGAGACUGCAUAGCUAGGGUGCGGAAGAGGGAAGCGGAAUUUCCGGUGUAGCGGUGAAAUGCGUAGAUAUCGGAAGGAACACCAGUGGCGAAAGCGGCUUCCUGGUCCAGCACCGACGUUCAGGCACGAAAGCGUGGGGAGCAAACAGG
rnacentral:rRNA from 1 species